UGAGCAAUCUGCCCUUCUCUUUGGAAUAAGCGUUGGAAACGACGUCUAAUGCCGAAUACGACCUCCUUUCGCAUGAUCGGAGGUGGAAAGCUCCGGCGGAGAAGGAUGAGCUCGCGGCCUAUCAGCUAGUUGGUGUGGGUAAUGGCCCACCAAGGCGACGACGGGUAGCUGGUCUGAGAGGAUGGCCAGCCCACAUUGGGACUGAGACACGGCCCAGACCUCUACGGGA
rnacentral:rRNA from 1 species